rnacentral:rRNA from 1 species
CCUACGGGAGUCAGCAGUGGGGAAUAUUGGGCAAUGUGCGCAAGCCUGACCCAGCAACGCCGCGUGAAGGAAGAAGGCUUUCGGGUUGUAACCUUCUUUUGUCAGGGACUCGUAGAAGACGGUACCUGACGAAUAAGCCACGGCUAACUACGUGCCAGCAGCCGCGGUAAUACGUAGGUGGCAAGCGUUGUCCGGAUGUACUGGUUGUAAAGGGCGUGUAGCCGGGUUGACAAGUCAGAUGGGAAAUCCUGCGGCUUAACCGCAGAACUGCAUUUGAAACUGUUGAUCUUGAGUACUGGAGAGGCAGACGGAAUUCCUAGUGUAGCGGUGAAAUGCGUAGAUAUGAGGAGGAACACCAGUGGCGAAGGCGGUCUGCUGGACAGCAACUGACGGUGAGGCGCGAAAGCGUGGGGAGCAAACAGGAUUAGAUACCCGGGUAGUC